GUGAGAGUCAACCACUCUCCUUUGGGCACUUUUUGUUACUUAGCUUCUUUGGGUCUGUGGAAAAUAGAUUUUUUCAAAUAAUAUAUUCUGAUUGUGGUUCCCCUCUCUCAGCUUCUCCCAGACCCUGCCCACUUCCUGAUCCACCCAAAUACCCGGUCUUUCUCCAUUAGAAUACAAACAGACAUUAAUAAUAAUGAAUAAACAUAAACAAACCAGAAUAGGACAAAACAAACACAUAGAAGAAAAAGAGCCAAAGCAAAAGUACAAGAUACAUGUAGAGGCACACACCUUUGCACACACAGAAGUCUCAUAAAAGCAUAAAGCCAGAAACCAUAAUAUUUGCACAAAGGACUAUAUAAAAAACUAGACACCGGGCUGGAGAGAUGGCUCAGAGGUUAAGAACACCGGCUGUUCUUCCAAAAGUCCUGAGUUCAAUUCCCAGCAACCACAUGGUGGCUCACAACCAUCUAUAGUAAGAUCUGGUGUGCAGGCAGAAUGUUAUAAAAUAAACAAACAAACAAACAAAUAUAUAUAUAAAUAAAUAAAUAAAUGCUAGAAAUUCCCCAAUGGUUGGAGCUGUGGACAAUACAUGGUCAUUAAUCAUAUACAAAGUGAGUAAAGUGUAAUUAAUAAAAAAAAUAAAAUUAAAAAAAAGAACUAGACACCAAGAAAACAAGUAAGCAAAUGACAAGAUUGGGUACGUGUCUCAGAUGAGGAAACACAAGUGGGCGAGAAAUACCUACAGAAAUGGUCAACAUCCUCAGUCAUCAAGGAGAUGAAAAUAAAGACUAGCAGCUGAGCUGUCGCUUGUGACCGGUGUAAGAUGGAAUCUCAGAGUACUUUAUGUAGUUUAGGUAGUAGCUCUCUGAAGGGUGCAGUUGGUAAAGUUGUUUCCUGUUCCGUAGCCUGUCACUUUGUCUCAGUGACGGUACCCUUGGCUACACAGAAGCUUUUCCAUACCUUGUGGUCCCGUUUAUUAACUAUUGUUCUUGGUGUCCUUGUUGUCGGUCUGCUGACGCAAGCAUGGCCCCAAGAUCACAGGGAACGCGCUGCAGAUAGUGGGUACAGGGGACGGGGGGGCGGCGAGGCCCUGGUGCUGGGAAGUGGAGACAGGAGGAUCCCUGGGGCUUGCUGGCCAGUCAGUCCAGCUGGAUCGACUCCGGGUUCAGCGAGAGAACCGGGAAGUAAGAUGGAGAGCGUGAGAAACACAGCUGGUGUCUGCCUCAGGCCCCCAGGCGCACACACAGACACACACUGAGCGCAGACGCGGGGUCGCUGCAGCUCGUACCUGUUCCCCGGCAGCCACACCCGGCCUAAAUCUCCGCGCUCUGCCUUUCUGGACUCUUCCAGCAGCACACUGGCGAAGGGUGGCUGAGCCCACCUCGGAGACCGCCAGAGCUGCCCAGAGCCAGAUUUUGAAAUCCUGGUGACACUGGCACAGCUCACCGGGCUCUGAGCAGUUUGAACUGCAGACACCUCAGGCUGACAGGACAAGGCAAGCCUGGAAGCCCUUCAGAGCGCAGCGGAGCCUGGAGGUGCCUGGGAUGGACCAGGCUGGACCAGGAGGUUCCUGGCGUGGUGUGCAGAUCAAAGGGGCCCCCUCCGCGUGGGGAGUGAGGGCCUGCGGGCGGGCCCCUUCCUCAUCAGCCAGCCAUCGCUCUCCCCCGGCUCGCCUUUGCACGUGACCUGGCCGCAGUGUGCAGCAGGCCUCAGUGUCCUCCCUGAAGUCCUCAGGUGCUAACUCCGUAAACAUCUCUCCCACUCCCGAACUACCUCGGAUCCGAGCCUCCCUGCCGCAGACUGGGUCUUGGUCGGCUGUUUCGGGUGAAAGGUUUGAGGUUCAGGCCGGACGCUGAGUCAGAUUAUCGCAUCUGGGAAGAGAUUUACUAGGCGAGUUUUUAAACACCGUGGACAGACAGCAGAUGGCGGAGGCGCCAGUGAGGCCCGCGAGGAGAGAGGGUUCCCACAGGCCCAGAGGAAGGGGUUUCAGGUAGCCAGGCUGUGUCUGCCUUCCCAGGAAGCAUGGGGACAGGGGUCUUGCCUUGCCGGGAGGGAAUUUGCACACUUUGAAGGGUGCGGGGCGGCGAGGAGGAGGAGCGCUCGCUGUGGCGCGGGCGCGGGCGCGUGUCCGCCUGCACGUCCCAGACGCCGCUAACCGGAGCCUUCGGACUUCUAGGGAGAAGGAAAUGGCCCAGGAGUCCAGGCACCGGCAGUGAAGGGGUUAGGGUGCUGUAGAGUCAGGCAUGCUCCACUAGGGGGCGCGUGUCUCAGCUGCUGCGGCCGGGAGAGCGCUCUGCCGUCAGCCCCUUCAGUGAGUUUUCUCUCUCAGCGCAUGUCAGGCGGCUCACAACCCCGCAUAGCUUCAGCUCCGGGGCGUCUGAGGCUCUCUUCUGGCUUCUGUGGUAACCACACACACGUGCACAAACACCUGCACACUUAAAGCAAAAAAUCCCCCAAAAGGAAACGGGGCCUUGGUGUGAGCAGGAGUCUCGUCUGGCCUUAAGCAGGGAACGCUUCACCCUGAGGAACAUUUGGUUUCACCACCUUGCUCUGGCUCAGGUCUCUGGAGUGGUUGCAGUUAGGAGACCUGUUGUGACUGGGGAUUCCAGAAGAAGGCUUGGGCACACGAGGACGCCGCUGAGGGCUUGUAAACUGAGAGUCUCAUCCUGGAGACGCAGUAACCCGCGGACACGCAGAUGAGAGAAGGGAAUAGCAAGCAGGAGGCGCCCCCGCCCGUCAGGAGCAGCUGGAAUGUGGAGGUGCCCAGGAGAGACCGAGAUGUUCCCAUAAUUCAUGGGCCGGAAAUCUUGAAGACAUGCAGUAAUGCUGAGACUGGGGACAGGCAGCUCCGGGGACGACGACUCCCUGACAAAUAGCAUCCAACAGCAUCCAGCCACCAGCCAGCACACAUCUAUCGAGGCGCUAGCAUCUAUGUGCCCUCUGAAAAGUCCCUGGGAUUCCAAAUGUCACACAAUCCCAGAAACUACCUGCAGCUGGCAAAGCUACGCCUCUGCCUAGAGCACAAGGCAAAUCAUAGCCCACUGCUGGGAAGCGGCCCCAGAUCCCCACACCUGGGAUUAAAACAAAAACAUGUUCUUAGAAUAUGUGUGUGUGUUUUAAAAGAAACCAAAUCACACAAUUCUCACUACAAGUGUGUUCAAUUCCCAGAGGCCCUGGGAGUGUUGAAAACAAGUCAGAGGAAAGAAACUGGCAGCUGAG